ensembl:rRNA 5S_rRNA 5S ribosomal RNA
UCCAGUGUAUAUCACCCUGCAGCCCCAAGACUGGUUACUCACUAAAGCUAAGCAGGGCUGAGUCUGGUCAGUACCUGGAUGGGAGACCACAUGGGAAAAUCAGGUUGCUGUUGGAA